rnacentral:rRNA from 1 species
GACGAACGCUGGCGGCGUGCUUAACACAUGCAAGUCGAACGGAAAGGCCCUGCUUUUGUGGGGUGCUCGAGUUGCGAACUGGUGAGUAACACUUGAGUAACCUGCCCUUGACUUUGGGAUAACUUCAUGCCACUGGGUCUCAUACCGGCUAGGAGCUCCUGCUGCUUGGUGGGGGUUGGUAGGUUUCGGCGGUUGGGCAUGUAAUCGCGUCUUAUCAGCUUGUUGGUGGGGUAGUGUCUUACCAAGGCUUUGACGGGUAGCCGGCCUGAGAGGGUGACCGGCCACAUUGGGACGGAGAUACGGCCCAGCCUCGUACGGGAGGCAGCAGUGGGGAAUAUUGCACAAUGGGCGGAAGCCUGAUGCAGCCACGCCGCGUGCGGGAUGACGGCCUUCGGGUUGUAUACCGCUUUCGCCUGUGCCGAAGCGUGAGUGACGGUAAUGGGUAAAGAAGCACCGGCUAACUACGUG